CGAAUCUUGACUGAGGACCCAAGUGGUUAAGUAUAAAUGCUUAACGUGAAACGUCCAGCCUCCUUCUGGUCCCGCUGGUCCGCAUGAUGACGUGGAGACGUCAAGAAACUGUUUUUCACGAUGAACAGCGCCGCAGACUGGACCGGGAUGGUAGUCAAACUGGUGGAUGCCAGGAAUGGGGAAAUUCCACCCCCACUGCAGGGAACUGCGUUCCGAGUUCGAAUGUGGAGAAGUCCAGGCAGCUCUGUUUUGAUGGAAGGAUGAGUCUACCCAAAACAAAAAAAGCAUGAAGCUGCCUCCUGUCAGUGUGUCACUGAUUUGAACCAAGAUGCCAGUGGAGAGGCACCCCUGACGAGAUGCUUGGCCUGGUUGAAAGAUGUGGAAGCACGUUGGAGUCGGUCUGGAGUGAUUUGGUGACCAUCCCUCACCUGAUCUCUAUAGGACUCGCUCGUCCCCUGGAACCCAGGAUUGGAGCUCCUGCUUCGGUCGUCCGCUGGCCGCGCACGGAAAGCAGAGACGUGAGCUGGGAGAACUGAACUUACUUUUAAAAAGCAAUAAAAAUCAGAUUUUGAAACU